rnacentral:lncRNA from 1 species
UAAUAUCUUUUCUAUUAUCAUCUUGAGCGCAGGGGCACUUGCUCGGCGGCAUUUAUCAUCUGAAAAGCAUGAUCUUCCAUCUUCGGCUGCUUUACAUAGCUGAGGAUCCAGUGGUACUUUUCCAAGAAACGGGACAUCCAUAUCGUUGCACAUCUUUGCUGCGCCUCCGCCACUGGUAUCAAAAACUUCACUACAAGCAAUCAAGUUCAGCAUUUCUGGGGCGUUCUCACUGAUAUAAGACAUGGCCCAUUCGGUCAUGUCUUUCUGCUCGCCAGUCUCUGUCAUUCUUGUGAAUUUGAAUUCAGAGAGUGGCUGGGAAAGACCACUCAUGUUCUCAACAACACCAAGAACCUCCACCCCAACUUUCUUGCAAAAACUAACUUCUUUCCUUACAUCUAUCAGAGAUACCUGUUGUGGGGUUGUGACUAAAACUGCACCAUCUAUUCCAGUUGCCUCGAGGGAUUGAACGAUUGUAAUCUGUUCAUCUGACGUUCCAGGUGGAGCAUCAACCACAAGGAAAUCAAGCUCUCCCCAAUCAACAUCUCUGAGGAAUUGCUUAAUUAGACCAGUCUUGCGAGGCCCUCUCCAUAUAGCAGCUUCAUCAGGGUUGGAGAUCAUGAAACCAAUUGAUAUAACCCCAAGGUUAGACUCAACAUAAGCAGGUAUCCAUCCACAAUUACUCCGGUGAAUCUCUCGUCCUUCGAGACCAAGCAUCUUUGGGAUGCUGGGGCCACAGAUAUCAAUGUCAAGGAUACCCACUUCAAAAUUCAUAGCUGCCAAUGCAAAAGCAAGUUGAGCUGAGAAAGUACUCUUACCAACUCCACCUUUGCCAGAUAAAACCAGUAUCUUGUGCUUCACAGUUGCCAUUCUUUCUACUAUUGCAACCAAGUCUGCACGAAACCAUCAAUACCAAACCGUCGAAAAUUUUAGUACUGUAUUAUUGUUUUUUAUAUAUAUGAUAAAGUAAUUUUCUUUGAAGCAUAUAAUCAAACAGUAUAUAAGCUAACACUCAAGUUUGGCCUAAAUUGGCUAUCAGUACCACCAAUUUGUUCCAAAGAGUUGCUGCAUAGCAACCAGUAACCACAUAACACUACUAAAAGCAUAACAUAUCAAAGCUCCUGUUGGAGUGGGAAGGAAAAUUUUACAGCAAUCAACCUGUUCGUAAACGCGGAGAUGAUAACAUCCUCCACAUUAUUCAGAGUCGAUUUCACAGAGGAAACAUGUCCGUUUAACAAAUCAUCGUAUAAAAAUCACUAGAAAUUGUAUAAUACAUCCAUAUCUAGAGUUAUAAAAGCUCUCAGUUACGAAAAAAUGUUGGUCACAAGUACCCGGAACUUAAUGAAAGAAAAGGUAAAGAAAGCCUAGAAAAAAGUUAUAAAUACUAUGCUCCAUUCUCUGUUGAGAUGUUUUUCUGAGCUAAUAUCUUUUCUAUUAUCAUCUUGAGCGCAGGGGCACUUGCCCGGCGGCAUUUAUCAUCUGAAAAGCAUGAUCUUCCAUCUUCGGCUGCUUUACAUAACUGAGGAUCCAGUGGUACUUUUCCAAGAAACGGGACACCCAUAUCGUUGCACAUCUUUGCAGCACCUCCGCCACUGGCAUCAAAAACUUCAGUACAAGCAAUCAAGUUCAGCAUUUCUGGGGCGUUCUCUCUCAUAUAAGAC